UGCAGUCGAACGGCAGCACGGAGCUUGCUCUGGUGGCGAGUGGCGAACGGGUGAGUAAUGCGUCGGAACGUAUCCAAUAAUGGGGGAUAACGCAGCGAAAGCUGUGCUAAUACCGCAUACGCCCUCCGGGGGAAAGCAGGGGAUCGUAAGACCUUGCGUUAAUGGAGCGGCCGACGUCUGAUUAGCUAGUUGGUAGGGUAAAGGCCUACCAAGGCGACGAUCAGUAGCUGGUCUGAGAGGAUGAUCAGCCACACUGGGACUGAGACACGGCCCAGACUCCUACGGGAGGCAGCAGUGGGGAAUUUUGGACAAUGGGCGCAAGCCUGAUCCAGCCAUUCCGCGUGAGUGAAGAAGGCCUUCGGGUUGUAAAGCUCUUUCAGGAGGGAAGAAACGAUUGUGGCUAAUACCCAUGAUUAAUGACGGUACCUUCAGAAGAAGCACCGGCUAACUACGUGCCAGCAGCCGCGGUAAUACUUAGGGUGCGAGCGUUAAUCGGAAUUACUGGGCGUAAAGCGUGCGCAGGCGGUUUUUCAAGUCUGAUGUGAAAUCCCCGGGCUUAACCUGGGAACUGCGAUGGAAACUGAAAGACUAGAGUGCGGCAGAGGGGGGUAGAAUUCCACGUGUAGCAGUGAAAUGCGUAGAUAUGUGGAGGAAUACCGAUGGCGAAGGCAGCCCCCUGGGUCGACACUGACGCUCAUGCACGAAAGCGUGGGUAGCAAACAGGAUUAGAUACCCUGGUAGUCCACGCCCUAAACGAUGUCAACUAGUUGUUGGGGAGGGAGACCUCCUUAGUAACGCAGCUAACGCGUGAAGUUGACCGCCUGGGGAGUACGGUCGCAAGAUUAAAACUCAAAGGAAUUGACGGGGGCCCGCACAAGCGGUGGAUUAUGUGGAUUAAUUCGAUGCAACGCGAAAAACCUUACCUACCCUUGACAUGUACG
rnacentral:rRNA from 1 species